rnacentral:rRNA from 1 species
UACGGAGGGAGCUAGCGUUGUUCGGAAUUACUGGGCGUAAAGCGCGCGUAGGCGGCUUUGUAAGUUAGAGGUGAAAGCCCGGGGCUCAACCCCGGAAUUGCCUUUAAGACUGCAUCGCUUGAAUCCGGGAGAGGUGAGUGGAAUUCCGAGUGUAGAGGUGAAAUUUGUAGAUAUUCGGAAGAACACCAGUGGCGAAGGCGGCUCACUGGACCGGCAUUGACGCUGAGGUGCGAAAGCGUGGGGAGCAAACAGG